rnacentral:rRNA from 1 species
AUUGAACGCUGGCGGCAGGCCUAACACAUGCAAGUCGAGCGGUAGAGAGGUGCUUGCACCUCUUGAGAGCGGCGGACGGGUGAGUAAAGCCUAGGAAUCUGCCUGGUAGUGGGGGAUAACGCUCGGAAACGGACGCUAAUACCGCAUACGUCCUACGGGAGAAAGCAGGGGGACCUUCGGGCCUUGCGCUAUCAGAUGAG